ACACCAAAUGAGUAAAUAUCACAUUUAUGUGUGACAGUACCGUCCCUUACGUACUCCAGAGGUAAGCGGCCUGGACGACCUAAAUGUGAAAGCAUCAUCAGCUUUGUUCAAUUUAAUUCACAAGAAUUCGUUGCAGUGAGCUGAAACCUGAGAAUUUUGGGUGCAUGUUGUCAUCCAAAAGAAUGCUGGCAGAAUUGAUGUUGCGGUGAACGAUGGUGCGCUUGAGUCCGGCAUGAAGGUAGUGUAGUCCACGCGCUGCUCCUAUGCAAAUCUCUAUCCUUUUUUUCCAUGGCAGUGCUUCCCUAACCUCAUCUCCCAGGUAGGAAAUUAGAGACCUAUUGGACAUGUAUUCGUGCACAGUGAUCUUCUCUUUUUUGUGGUUGCAAAAUCCUACAAUAGACACACAAUUUGGGUGAUGAAGCUGACACAGUAACUCUACUUCUCUUUUGAAUAUUUCACUGUCCUCCUUAUAUCGCCUCACUGUGACAGCGUAAUCAGAACCAUCAAUAUGCUGGAGACAACCUUCGUAAACUUUAACCCACGCUCCUCGUCCAAUUAGUCUUUUAUCAUCAAAAUUGUUGGUUGAUUUCUGAAUAUCAGCAAGAGAAAAAUGACGACACAACUCUUCUAUUACUGUUGGAUAUUGUCUUCCGGAUGAACUUGACUCACCAAAACAUUUCAGAAACAUUAUUACCUUUCUUGCCACAGAUUGAACUGAGUGUGUAUUUAGUACAUACACCAAUGGUUAUGUUUUAAAGCUUCUUGCUAGACACUAUAUUCGUAUUAA